rnacentral:rRNA from 1 species
CCUACGGGUGGCAGCAGUCGGGAAUAUUGCGCAAUGGAGGAAACUCUGACGCAGUGACGCCGCGUGCAGGAAGAAGGUUUUCGGAUUGUAAACUGCUUUAGACAGGGAAGAAACAAGACAGUACAUGUAAAAUUAGAUCAGGCUAAAUGAGUGCCAGCAGCAUAGGUAAUACGUAGGAAGCAAGCGUUAUCCGGAUUUAUUGGGUGUAACGGGUGCGUAGACGGCUAGUCAAGUUGGUUGUGAAAUCUCGUGGCUUAACUGAGGAACUGCAACCAAAACUAACUUUCUUGAGUGCUGGAGAGGAAAGUGGAAUUCCUGGUGUAGCGGUGAAAUGCGUAGAUAGUAGGAGGAACCCCAGUGGCGAAGGCGACUUUCUGGACAGUAACUGACGUUGAGGCACGAAAGUGUGGGGAGCAAACAGGAUUAGAUACCCUAGUAGUC